rnacentral:tRNA from 1 species
GUUUUAAUAGUUUAUAUAAAAUAAUGAUUUUGUAAUUCAUAGAAAGUAAAUAACUUUAAAACU